rnacentral:lncRNA from 1 species
UUUUAAGAAAAGAAGAGCUCAAUAAUUCAACAUAUAUCUGUACACACAUAAUUGAAUAAGAUAUUCGACACAUCAAUCACUAUAGGUUACAUUAUAACCACACAAAUUAAAGAAAAGAAAAAAAAAAAACUAAUAUCACGAGAUUCUCAUUCAAUGACUACUACGUCCGCCACGAGCUUUACCCGUACUCGACGAACCAGUUCCGGAUCCGGAUCCGGAUCCAGACCCACCAGCUGUCGAAACACUCCCUGAGCCUCUAGACCCAAAGUAAAGAUCCGAGAGGUAAUUCCCAAUAUCUUCAGGGGUAUAUCUGGAAAUAGCCUCAUUAUCUCCAACCAUACCAUAUGCAAACCGGUUCAUCCGGUAAAACUCGGUACAAACCAGCAUAAGUUUCUGACUCAACGUGAUUUUAAUCUGGUCCCUAAGUUUCGGGUCGGGUAUAACCCACGAAGUCUGUUUCCGGUACGACGUCUCAAACUCAUCGUUGAAUCUCGCCACCAAAACCUUAGCUUCCUCCGGCGAAAUCUCAUCCGUCGGAAUCUCCGGUAGUAAAUCCAGCACUUUCCCCCACGCAAGCUUCUCAAACUUAUCAGCAUACAGCUUCACCUUCUCUUCAUGCCUAAACACCCAAUCGUCUCCGAGAAGAACCUUCAGAGUCGACGAUCGGACUUUAACGACGACGUAUUGGAGAUUGUUAGCGAGGAAGAGAUAAGACAAAGCAACGUCUUUAUACGGCUGAGCUUUACCGUCGAUUUUACAAAGCGUGAGUAAAAUCACCCAAGCGAUACGUACAGAGACCGGAGACGAAUACAGAUCCUCCGGAUUCGCUUCAUCGCCGCCGCUUAUGUAUAAAGAAUCCGGCAACGGCGUCGGCACACUCAGCUUCCAGUUUUCGAAUAUCGCAGCGAUGGAAUCACUGUAAUCAGCGAGGAAGGAGAGGUAAUUCAUAACGUAACGAGUCAGAGGAUGAACACCACCACCGAUGAUCGGAGUCUUCGAGGUUUCUUUCUGAAUCGCCGAUUCGAAAUCCGUCAUCAUCAACCUCGUCGCAUCGCCGAGUCUAGCUAACGAGUUUAUCACCUGAGAUCUAACCGCAGCAGCUGAUUCGAAGUAGAAGAUUGAUUCAAUCUCAACAUAGAGAUUCGCAAGAGCUUCAUACAUAUCCAGAAACCGAAACAUUUUCUCCGGAGUUAACUUUUUGAUCUUGGAAGCAUAUUCCGGGAAAGUGAAGAGAAUCAAUGCUCCUUCUUGAGUAAUCUCAGUGAAAGAAGAUUCAACGAUUAAACCAGAGGAAGAGAAAACAUGAUCAGCUAAAAUCCUCUCACCGAAGAACAAUUUUCUAACAGCUAAUUUCACAGCUUUUAGCCAUGUUUUGAUCUUUGAUUCGAGAAUCUCCCAAUCCAUUUUCUGAACCUGAUGAAGAUUGAAUCUCUCCAUUUGCAGAUUAUGCAGCGUCUCAUCAACAAUCGAUUUCCGUACGGUUUUAUAAACCCUAACGCAUUCCUUAGCGUAGCCGGUAGAGAUCAUACAAUCAGCAAUCAUCUUGAGAUCAUCCAUUGCGUCGGAAUCUCCACCGGAGAAUCUAUGCUCUUCGUCGGCGUUUUCUUCGUAACUGCUUUCGUCUUCGGAAUCGGAGACACUAGUCGUAGUCGAAGUACUGAAUCUCGAUGAUCUGUAAGAACGUACAGAGACACAUUCAGGAUCUAAAUACUCACGGUUCGCUUUUAAAACACGAUGAAACUCUGAUUCGAGAAGCUUCAUCGCCGAUUGCAUUAGAUUCUGUGCGUAGAUUAGCUUCUCCGAGGAAGGGUUAACGGAAACCAAACGAUGCAUCGUGCUUUGUAGAUGUCUAACGGCUGUAACAAACUCCUCUGCUUCACGACGACUGUUGGUGGAGAAGAGGAAGUCGUCGGAGGAAGAAGCAGCCGGAGAAGUCCAUUUUGAUAUGACGGUGUUGAUGUUGCUCAUACAUUCUUGAACAGCUGAUUCCGCGAGAGAGAGAUGAGCUGUUGGUUUCUCCGGUGGAGGAGAUGAUCGGAAUAAAUGCUUCCCCAUUUUUGUGGUUUGCUCUGUUUUUAUUUUUUGGUACCGUCUCUUUUUAUGUGUGUGAAGAAGAAGGUACUCUGUUUUUUUUUUUUGGUUACUCUUUAACAAAAAUAAAACUUCUGGUUUGUUGUUUGUUUGUUUGGUUUUUGUAAUCAAAAAGUGAAGUAGAUAAGAUGAGGAAGGUGG